rnacentral:ncRNA from 1 species
GUUAUACGACUGACGGAAGUGGAAUUAACCACGUGAAGUAUAAUAAUAAUGAGCCGACCGUCUGGGCAG